UUAAUAUUGUUGUUUUGUUCAGAGUGACAAGAAAAGCCCGGCACCUGCACCUGCACCACAAGCCACUACUGCCACACUGCCAACUGAAGCUGACCUGGUGCAAGACAGCGAGGGCUCUUGCUCGGGGUCUGAGCUGAAUGUCACCGACCAGGCCAAUGUCAGCACCACUAGCACUGGCAGCAAUGUUAGACGUAAACUACGUCUGGCCGCACAUUUUCAAACUCCUUUGGAGUGAACUAUUUUUUGUACUUUUUCUACUAAGUCUACCAGAAACUUUAAGUCAAUUUUUAAUACACUUAGUUUGUAAUGGAUGUUUUCUGUACUAGAGUCCUAUUUCGAGCGAAAAUAGCAAAAUGGUUUAUAAAGUACAAUUUCCUUUUUCAAGUUUCCAUCCUAGAUAUAAAAUGUUUUCAAAAUAGUUGAUAUUGUAGUCAUAUUCUAGACUAUCAACUAUUCUGAAAACAUUUUUUGAUCGAGGUUUGCUGAACAUAGAAUGUCUAUGAUGAAAACCUUGAAAUAGGGAAUAAUAGUGUAGAGUGUAUGUACCUUAUCAACAGUCAAUCAAUGUUUCCAUCAUAAUUUAGUCUCUCUAUAUACAAUUUUUGCCAUGUUGGAUCUAUGUUUUUAGAAUAAUUAGUACCUAGUGUACUGGACAAUUAUUUGAAUUUUCUAUCAUAUUGCUAUUGUCGAUUUUAUUUUGUUCAAAGCUUGAGCCAACUGGAUAUGCAUUUAAUCUUGCUUCUAUUGGAAAGGAUACUUAUAAUUUUUUCCUGCAUUUUAAAGUCAAGCUGAAUGGAAAACUCAUUAGAUAGUAUAUUUUGGGAUUUUUACUGCAUUUUGAGUUUGAUUUUCUUGAGCAUCGUUGGCACAAUAAUUGUAUAUAUCAAUGCUUCAGUAAUAUUAUAUUACGAUGAUGCUGAACCCUGAUGGAAGCUUAAUUGCAUAUUUCAAUUGGUAUCCUCUAUUGUACAGUAUUUCCGAUUAUCUCAAUAACAUUUCUCGCUCAGAACGCUAUCUUCAAAUAUAUGCAUUAUCUUCAGCAUGAUGACAAUGGAAAAAGGAAAUUUUUGAAGAUAGAAUUCUGAGCAAAAAAUAUGAUAAAAUAAUCGAAAAUAUAAUAUUAAAUAUAUUAAUUGAAAUAUACAAUUAAGCCUCCAUUAAAUACUAAGGAAAUCAAACGAGAAGCAUCAUCGUGGUUACAAUAUUACUUGAGCAUUGGUUUCAUAGAUUUUUAUCUUAAUUUAUCGUAAUAUUACCUUAUCAUAGAUUUAAUCAAUUCUUAUUAUAAUUUAAUCUAUCAUUAUAUUAUUUUGUUUUAAGUAACUUUCAAUUUGUUCGUUGUGAUGUGAUGAGUUUAGUAAUUUUUUCAUAAAGUUUGAUAAUUUCUCACACUAUAUUAUAUUAAUGCUGGCUAAACACAACGAAAAUAGGUUUAUUUAUUUUAUGCUUCAAUAAUAUUCAAUUAUUCAAAAGGUUUCCCUUACAUUUUUUUGUAGUUAUAUUGGAAUGUUAGUGUUUUAUAAACGUUCAAGAAAGCAAUUUCCAUAGUUUAAUCCAAGAAUUAAGUAAAUUUAAACCUUAAAACACAACUUUUAAGCUGUUGGCUUACAUAUCAUUAGAAGUAUAUUUCUUCAAACAAAUUUCUAUAUUUUAUGUAUUAAUAUGCAGCUAAACAUUUUAUUGAUCAGAAUUGUUAAGGUUUUUUCAAUUUUUAAAAAUUAAAUCUAUUAAUUACAAUUGAAACUUUAUUGCUUGAAGGCAAUAAUCAAUGUUUCUCCAUAUGUUAAACGUUAGCGAAGUCUUGAAAGAGAAUGUAGACCAUUUAAAAUGUUUUAGAUAGUCUUAUAAUUUUUUUAAUAAUAGAAAACUUCCUAAAUUUGAAAUCUAGUUUAAUUGCAGGAUACAAUUCAGUUUUUGUCAACUUCUUAAAACAUUGCGUUGUACUUGGAAUUUAUGUUUCAAUUUCUGUUGAAAUUUAUGAUGUUUUAACAUUUUAGAUUUGAAAAUUAUGUUUGAGAAAUGGAACUACCAUCAAUUUAUGCUAUUAAAACUUUCAUUUUUCUACUUUCUUUGCACAAGUAAAACAGUUUAGAAAGUAUUAUCGCUUUCCCAAAACUUUAGAUUUUCUGAUUAUCUCAAUUAUUGUUUCUUACUCCUUGAACAAUUUACUUAUUCAAUCAUUCAGAAUUUCACAUUAAUUAUGUAAAUAAUAUACGUCAUAAGUGAUUUUUGCAGAAAGACAUAAUAGAUGUACAAAAGUAAUAUACAUUGAAUCUAAUUAUUUUUAAAUCAUUGCAAGAAAUGAGAAUAGUUUAUAUACCUAUAUAUAUAUAUUUUAUACAUGUGAAUUAAUGUGUAUUGAUAUUGCCAGAAACCUGUAUGUGAAUCGAAGUGUUAGUUGUUAUAUUUUAUGUAAUGUGUUUCUCAGAUAUGUACCGUACAUCCUAUACUAGUCUUAUAUGUGGAAAUAGUAUAAUAUAAUGUAUUCCUCAAUGUAGUAGAUAAUAUUUAAGAUGUUCCUCUUACAGAUUUGUAGUCUUAUGUAAGAGAAACAGUUCCACACAUUCGUUGUCAUGCAGAUGAUUUACAGACUUUACAGUUUAUCUUACAGAUUUUUAGAUGAUUUCAAAUGAAUGCGCUAUUAAUUAUGAUUAUUUGAAAUUAAGGCAUCAAUAUCAAUGAUUGCUUGGGAUAAACAAGCAAUAACUUAGUUAAACAAGCAUAACUUGGAUAAACAAGCAUAACUUGUUUGCUCAGUUUCCAAAUCUUAAAUCAAGAAUUGAACAACCAUCCUCGGGACCUCAUAAUCAUAAAAUUCAAUCAAGAAUUGUUCACUUCUUACAAUUAUUUAGAUCACUACUUAUAAAUAUUGAUAAUUAUAAAUUUCAAGAUUAAUGAUGAUCAAAAGUUGAUCGCUUAUCAAACAUAUACAGCCUUAUUCCAAAUGAUGGACCCAUUUUCAAAAAUUCAUCUUUUACUGUAGUACUUAUCCGAAAUGAACAAUCCUUAUACCAAUUGAAAGAAAAAUUCAAAAGUUUUUCUGCAAUAAUUACCCUAGACAGCCAGGUCGCUCACUCAGUGAGAGAGGUUUUUGACUAGAGUCAGUCAGUCGGGAAAUUUAAGUAAACCAUGAGUACUUACUUACAAAGCCCAAUGGACCUUGGCCUCCUCAACAAUUUGCCUCCAAUCAUCUUUAUCACUUGCUCGCCUCUUCCAGUUUAGCACUAUCAAGCACGCCAGAUCUCUCUCCACAUCUUGAAGCCAGUGGGCUCUGGGCGACCUCUUCUCCUAGUUCCUUCCAUUCGUCCAAUAAGCAUAUGUCUCUGUAUUGUGUUUUGCUCCAUUCGUUGUACAUGCUCCAGCCAACUAAUUCUUCUAGACUUUAUAGACCAUGAAUACAGUACUUGAUAUUUCAGGAUUACCUUUUUAAACAUUUGGAUU
rnacentral:lncRNA from 1 species